rnacentral:lncRNA from 1 species
CUUCUACUCCCACCACGCCAACGUCGACCGGACGUGGUACCUGUGGAAGAAGCUGAGCAAGAGGAACGUCGACUUCACCGACCGGGACUGGCUGGACACCUCCUUCCUCUUCUACGACGAGGACGCCCGCCUGGUGAGGGUGAAGGUGAGGGACUGCCUCGAGCCCGAGAUGCUGGGCUUCACCUACCAGGACGUGCCCCUCCCGUGGCUCAAGAACCGCGCCACGCCCCGCGCCACCCCCACAGCGGAGAAGUCUUCCACCUCCUCCGCGCCCCCGUCAAAGAAGAAGAAGAGAGCGAAGCUGCUGAAAUCCGCCGGGGGACCGGCGACUUUCCCCCUGACGCUGUCGUCGGUGGCGGUCAUCACGGUGAAGCGGCCCAAGGUCAACCGGAGCGCCGCCGAGAAGGACAAGGAGGAGGAGGUCCUCGUGGUGGAUGGGAUCGAACUGGACCCCAAAAACUGCGUGAAGUUCGACGUCUACGUCGACGACACUGACGCCGCCGGAGUCAAGCCCGACGACAGCGAGUUCGCCGGCAGCUUCGUCAACGUACCGCAAGGGAAGGGCCACGGCAAGAAGAAGAAGAGGGAAAAGUUGAAGACCAGCCUGCGACUGGGGAUCACCGACCUGCUGGAGGACCUCAAGCUCGAGGACGAGGACGAGCUCCUCGUCACCCUCGUCCCCCGUAGGGGCAAGGGCAAGGUCAACAUCGAAGGGGUCCGCCUAGAGCUCACCUCCUGAGCCCAUCUCCCGGUGCCCUCUCUCGCAUGCUCAUUUCCUUUCGAUCAAUAAAGACUCCUCUGUGAUGAUACAGUUGAUCGCUGCUGCAUGCUUCUGCGUCGACGACUGUCGAAUUAGUUGAAUAAAUCUUCGAUCUGCUAUUACCAUGCUUGCAUUCAUGGAUGCCCGGUAUAUCCUCGA